UUGUGUUUGUGACCCUCAGAUCCAAGCUGACCAACGAUGACUUCAGGAAGCUUCUGAUGACCCCGAGAGCCACUCCGUCCUCGGCUCCACCCUCAAAAACACGCCACCAUGAGAUGCCACGGGAAUACAAUGAAGAUGAGGAUCCCGCAGCUCGCAGACGUAAG